rnacentral:rRNA from 1 species
UACGUAGGGGGCAAGCGUUGUCCGGAUUUAUUGGGCGUAAAGAGCGUGUAGGCGGCCGUACAGGUCAGCUGUGAAAACUCGAGGCUCAACCUCGAGACGUCGGUUGAAACCGUACGGCUAGAGUCCGGAAGAGGAGAGUGGAAUUCCCGGUGUAGCGGUGAAAUGCGCAGAUAUCGGGAAGAACACCCGUGGCGAAGGCGGCUCUCUGGGGCGGUACUGACGCUGAGACGCGAAAGCGUGGGGAGCAAACAGG